GAUGGAGGCUGCCUCGGGCAGCUGGUGCAGGUUGUUGGUGCCUGCGUACACCUUCCAGCCAUCUAGGAUCUUCUCCCGGGUCCUGCAAGAGCCGGAGGGAGCAGGCGCCAGUUAUCCACCUGGCAGAGUUUACGCGUCACAUCUGCUACAUACAGGGAGCCACAGCCGAGCACCAGCUUGGAGGCAGGAGGAUGGAUGAAAAGACCUCUGGCAGGAACCCUCUAUCUUAUCCCUGGGGUCCAGAGCAACCUUCCACACCUUGCCCCCGAAAAAUUCUGAACUGGUUGCUCUGUGCCUUACAAUAACGAAGGAGAAGGGAUGAGUAAGACCCCUUUGUGGCAUUCACCCUCCACUAUCUCAUCUGCAAGUCAUCAAGGAUCAAAUACGGCAGGUGGGACCGAUCUCAGUAGUGUCCUCAUCAGAAACAGCGACGUAGACAGGACUAAGUGACCACAGAAGACUCAUUGCCCCAGAGGCCUGGACCCAGGGCUCUUUCCUGCCCCCAGCCUGGGCUGUGGACCCCCAAAUGGACAAGGCUGUCUGGUGACUGUCAGAAGCUGACUACAGUGAUGUCCCCAAAAUCACCUACAGUCUCUGGGACAGCACUUCUGAUUUUUUUGGCUCCUCUGCCAUGAGUUUCAGUUGCUGUGCCAUCACUGGGACUUUCUCGUCCUUGGGCCUCACUGACAACAGUACCCCCAACUCACACUCUCAGGACACGAGCUGCAAAUCCUGGCCCUCAAGUGACCAUCCAAGCCACACCAGCACUGCCUGGCCCAUGGGGGCUGAACUCACACCCACAGUCCUCACCUACAGAGAAGUCAGCCCACAGUCUGCCCUUCCUGGUGUUCCCCGGUCCUGGCAGCAUGGUGUCACCCGCCCACUCGGGUACUUACACAAAGAAGCAGUGGGCAGCAGGCCAGUUAUCUCUCUCAGAGGGGUCCCACCCUUCUGCCCCCUGACUCCCACUCCACACUGGCCACAAUCCAAGAAGAAGAGCAUCUUACGGGAACACUGGAGAGAGACAUACUGCUGGGAAGGACAUUCAGACCUGCAGGAGGAGACACAGAGGAUGGGAAAAGGGCACAUUAGCCACCUCCUCCAGGAAGCCUUCCUGAUUGACUCCUGCUCAGUUCCUAUUCCAUUUCUAAGGAAGCUAACCUUUGCACAAGAAGGUGGAGAGUCUGCCCUUCUCCCUCUCAGUGGGACAUUCUUCAUGCCUUCGGGGCAGGUGACCUGACGCAGUUCCUGAAGGUAGCAUGCACGGAGCAGCCACCCAGGUGCAGCGAAUUGCCCCCGACAGGUAAACCAGGUUAGCUGGCAGAGCACCCCAAAACUUCCCCCUCAGCAGGCCUGGGACAAGGGGCUGCAUGGCAAAGAUGACAGAGGAUGAGGAGGCCGACGCUUCCCAGGUGGGCUUCCCUGUCCCUGAUGCUCAUACGUGGCAUCCCCCUGCUGCUGGUCCCCAACUCUGUCCCAACCCCAACCUCAGGGAUGCUUCUCUGUCCCCGCCCAGACCCACUCCCAGGAGCAGCUUUGAGUCCAGACACCUGGCUGACUGGCGGCCCCAAGGCUUGUGAAUUGUCUCUGCCAUCCAGGUAAAGUCUCAGGGGCAGCCCUGGUGACCUCUGCACCAAGCCUCAAAUAAGAACUUUUACGUCAGCAGGCAGUAUGGUGGAUGACUGUCAGGGUGCCCUGACACUCUGAACGCCUAGAGGCUGGGACCCCAAAAGGAAAGGGGAACUCCCUGACCCAAAGCCCCUCCCCACCUCCUCAUUCGCCUGCUCACAGACAGGCAGCCAGCCCGCCCUGCCGUACCUGUGGAGGCUUUCCUGGACGGUGGAGUUGUAUUCAGAGAUUGAGAAGCUGCUGGCAAAGUCUCUGUGGGCCACUUCGGUUGUCCGGUAAGCACUGCAAGGGAGGGGAGGGAAGAAGAGUGAGCCCCUGGAGGCAGAGCCUACCCAGGUCCUGCAGCCGGCAUUAGAGUCCCCACCGGCUGGCAGAGGCCAGGCUGUGAUGGCCUGAAUGGUGCCGGCUCUUCCACGCAGCAGUCAAAGCCUAGGACAGUGUGACUCCACUGCCCCACCCCCGCUAGCCCCGUGUGGCUAGCCCAGGAGUACCCAGUAGUUCCCAGUGUAGACUGGCAGCAUUAACACUGCCUGGGAAAUUGUCAGAAAUGCAAAUUCUCUGGUCCCGCCCCAGACUUACUGAAUCAGAAAGUCUGGGGGUGGGCCCAGCAGUCUGUAUUUUAAGAGGCUGUCCCGUGAUGCUGAUGCAUGUUCAAGUGUGAGAAGCACCAGUCUAGCCCUUUUCCAUCCAAACCAUGAUACGUGGACCAGGCAGCAGCACCACCCCAGCCCCACUGAACCAGAGUCUGCAUUCUAAGGAAUCCCAGGUUACUGACUUAUACAUCAAAGUUUGAGAGCCUCUGGACAUGCCCACUGGGUCUCAGGCCGUGGUGUGCCUAAGAAUCCCCUUGGGAUGUUUGCCAAGCAGGUUCUAAGCCCUAAUCUCAGAGGUUCUGAUUCUGGGAUUAUUAUUAAUAUCAGCUCCUAUAUGCUUCUUUGCAUCAAAGCACCCUCUUGUCCAUGAUCACAUGCGAUGGUACAUUUUUACAAGCACAGCAGGUGACUCUGACGUGUGCCGCUCUCUGUGUGGAACUUGUGUGCAUUUCUAGAACACGGUACCCUUGCAUGACACCAUGUUUUCAUACGUGCCAUUCCUCUACCCAGAGGGUCCGUUCCUCCACUGUCUGCUCUCUUCCAAGUAGGCACCCCCUCUGUCAUGUGCCCUUCCUGCUUCAUACUGUCCUGAUCAUUACACAUCACCUUGUGCUGUGACUAUGGUUUAAGGCUCUCUCACUAACCACACUAGAGGGUCCUCAAGGGUGGGAGCCUUUGUGUUUGGGCGCCACGCAGUCUUUGGCACAUAACAGAAGCUCAAUGAAUGUUCUUUGAAUAAAUGACAUUGAAAGAACUGAAUGCCCAAGGGAGGCCUGGACUUGCAUACGGGCAUCCACCUCACUGAUAAAAGAUGCCCAUUGUCUUCCAUCCCACCCCUCAGGUCCCCUUUCACGGGUCCUGACUCUGAGACUGAGGUGGGGGUGGAGAACUCGUUCUAAGUCCUAGACUCCCCCCACCUCUGGUUUUUCAGGAGCUUCUUCUACAAAGAACCCACAGUGAGGUCCUCAACCCUUCUCCUCACACAUACUGGUGAACCCCCAAACCACUCAGCUUGAAAACUCAGACCAAGAGGCAGGACGGACAUGCCUGUCUGGCCUGCAAAUUAAAUGCUCCUUCAAGUUGGAAGGGCGCUGCUCACCCUACUCCCUGCUCCACCCACCAGCAUCGGCUAAUUUGUUGAAAUCUUUACAGCCAAAGAUUCUUAUGUCUUUGCCUGGCCUCACCUGCCUCAUCUCAUUCCCCAUUUGAGGAGUUCCAGCCCAAGCCACAACUGCCACAGAUCAAAGUCCACUGAUGGGUUCUGCAUGCUCUGAACUUUUAGUUCCCAGAUGUAAGAAGAAAAGACCUGCCCAAAUACCUAUCCACCCCUCAGGGGCCACCACGUGACCAUCGCAUGUGAUCAUGGACAAGAGGGUGCUUUGAUGCAAAGAAGCAUAUAGGAGCUGAUAUUAAUACUAUUACAGCUCUACAAUAAUCGCUUUGGCCUCAUGGAAAUAACUUGCUCCAAACUCACAGGAUCCUAGGGCCCCAUCUCUUUGACGACCUCACCAGUGUCUGGAGCUGGUGAGAUCAGCCUUGGGCUGACAUGGCUGAGGCAUCCUGAAGCUGGCCCUGGGGUGGGGGGAGGUUUACCUCUGGAAGCCCAGCUGCUGGCAGGUCUUCUCUGAGUAGGAAUCAUUCCAGCUGUUGCUGCAGAUGGGAAGCCACUCAUGGGAGGACCCAGAGUAGACUUUAAGCAGAGACUUAUCCCAGUCAAACCUCACUGCAGGGCAAGAAAAAGGCAGAGCAAGUGCUUAGCACCUAGGAAGGUUCAAGCUCUUGGGGGAUGAGCUGAAUAAGGCUCCGAGACGCUCCUGUCCUGAGGUUCCUCGUUGAGGUCCGGGAGCUUGGCCUGAGCAGUGAUGGGCAGAAGCCCAGGGUGCCCAGUAAGGCAGAGCCAAGGCAAGGGGCUGGGGCAGGGCAGACAGCUCGCCGCCCAACAGGACCCACAGGGCCAUUGCUGGGAGAAGGGGUGAGCACUGCCAGGAGCCAUCACCCUGUGCCCAGUGAGGUCUAUGAUCUAACCAAGUGCCCAGGGGCCAGGCUCAGUCCCAGAUGGACAGUCUUGGGCAAGAGCACCUGUAAACAGUGGGAUGGAUGGGACAUGCACGCACCCCCCACAGCAGGGCUGUAUGGACACAACACAUGCAAGAUCCACUGAGGACCAGAGCUCAUCUAGGCCAUCUGUUUACAAACUGAUGGUCAAGAAACCACAGGGUGACAAGUCAGAGGUCACCUGCUGGACAAAGGAGAGAAGCACAUAGAUGGGACUCCAGACCCCACACCACCUCCAGCCAGAGAUACUCUGCUUUGCUCAGUCUGAUAUCUGGGAGUUGUCAGAUUUUAUAUGAGAACCACUAAUCUUGUCCCAUUCAUUCAUUUUAUGAAUUAGGAGACUGAAGCCCAGAGAAGGUAAAUGACUUGUCCAAGUCAUGCAGCACUCAAAGCCAGGUUUCAAACCCCAGUCUACUAUGACUAGACCCCAGAUCUGCUGAUUCCCGGUCUACCACCUCCUGUUUCAGUGGCACCACACAGUUUGCAUCACAGUUUGUAGUGACCAGAGUAUGGGCACGUGCAUCCAUGCACACACACACACACAGACACACACACACACACACUCUCCCCCCGCCCAGCCUCCUUACCGCAGCCCAGCUCGUCACUCUUCAGCUUGCAGUCCACCACCCCAUUGCAGCGAACGGCGUGCCUGGGACAGCUCUCUACCUGCUCCUUGUACUUGAUCCCCGUGCGGCCCUGCCAGAAGUAGACUGGAAGGAAAGAGGCGGACAGCCGGGUCAUUGCCAGCCCAGAGUGACAAGGCACAAAGCAGCCCAAGGCCCUGGGGGUUCUGAGACACCGACCUGCAAUCCCUCUUGGAAUCUGGGGCUCUCGUCCCCCAUCUGUAUGGAGAGAAAGGCUGCUCAGGAAUGCUCCGGAGUGCUCCAGAAAGCUCCUGCAAGCAGGGCAGCACCAGGAAGACUCGAGCAGCCAGCCACCCAGAGGGACAGAGAGAGAGAGGGAGAGAGGAAGAGAGAGGGGGGAGGUGUGGAGAUGGGUACCACUUUGGGACUGCCCCUCCAUACGUCUGGCAGGGGUGGUGGCCAGAGAAACCACCUCCUCCAGUAUCCCAGAGCCCCCUUCUCAGAACCCCUCUGCCAUCCCACCUCUGUGCUCCACAGGGUCACAGCGACUUCACGGUCACAGCCACGCAAUCCCCACCUGUCUGCUCUUCUCAAAGGCUACCGUCCUUCCACCCCAGAGGCUCCUGGCUUUUCUCCUGCUCCCUCUCCCCUGAACCAGGGACAUCCCCUGUGCUCGGUUCUUUCCCCAUCACUUGUUUUUAUGCCUUGAAUGUCUUUUCACUCAAUGGGCCAUUCUAGGUGGCUGAUUCCCAAAUGUACAAGUUGAGUCUAAAAGAAAACAACUGUGCAAACCAUAAA